GGUCGACGAUUAGAGUUUGAUCCUGGCUCAGAUUGAACGCUGGCGGCAGGCCUAACACAUGCAAGUCGAGCGGUAACAUUUCUAGCUUGCUAGAAGAUGACGAGCGGCGGACGGGUGAGUAAUGCUUGGGAAUAUGCCUUUUGGUGGGGGACAACAGUUGGAAACGACUGCUAAUACCGCAUGAUGUCUACGGACCAAAGUGGGGGACCUUCGGGCCUCACGCCAAGAGAUUAGCCCAAGUGGGAUUAGCUAGUUGGUAAGGUAAUGGCUUACCAAGGCGACGAUCCCUAGCUGGUUUGAGAGGAUGAUCAGCCACACUGGGACUGAGACACGGUCCAGACUCCUACGGGAGGCAGCAGUGGGGAAUAUUGCACAAUGGGCGCAAGCCUGAUGCAGCCAUGCCGCGUGUGUGAAGAAGGCCUUCGGGUUGUAAAGCACUUUCAGUCAGGAGGAAAGGUUAGUCGUUAAUACCGGCUAGCUGUGACGUUACUGACAGAAGAAGCACCGGCUAACUCCGUGCCAGCAGCCGCGGUAAUACGGAGGGUGCGAGCGUUAAUCGGAAUUACUGGGCGUAAAGCGUACGCAGGCGGUUUGUUAAGCGAGAUGUGAAAGCCCCGGGCUCAACCUGGGAACUGCAUUUCGAACUGGCAAACUAGAGUGUGAUAGAGGGUGGUAGAAUUUCAGGUGUAGCGGUGAAAUGCGUAGAGAUCUGAAGGAAUACCGAUGGCGAAGGCAGCCACCUGGGUCAACACUGACGCUCAUGUACGAAAGCGUGGGGAGCAAACAGGAUUAGAUACCCUGGUAGUCCACGCCGUAAACGAUGUCUACUAGAAGCUCGGAGCCUCGGUUCUGUUUUUCAAAGCUAACGCAUUAAGUAGACCGCCUGGGGAGUACGGCCGCAAGGUUAAAACUCAAAUGAAUUGACGGGGGCCCGCACAAGCGGUGGAGCAUGUGGUUUAAUUCGAUGCAACGCGAAGAACCUUACCUACACUUGACAUACAGAGAACUUACCAGAGAUGGUUUGGUGCCUUCGGGAACUCUGAUACAGUGCUGCAUGGCUGUCGUCAGCUCGUGUGUGAGAUGU
rnacentral:rRNA from 1 species